rnacentral:rRNA from 1 species
UACGUAGGAUGCAAGCGUUGUCCGGAAUUACUGGGCGUAAAGCGUGCGCAGGCGGUUGUGCAAGACAGAUGUGAAAUCCCCGGGCUUAACCUGGGAAUUGCAUUUGUGACUGCACGGCUAGAGUGUGUCAGAGGGGGGUAGAAUUCCACGUGUAGCAGUGAAAUGCGUAGAUAUGUGGAGGAAUACCGAUGGCGAAGGCAGCCCCCUGGGAUAACACUGACGCUCAUGCACGAAAGCGUGGGGAGCAAACAGG